rnacentral:rRNA from 1 species
AGGACGAACGCUGGCGGCGUGCUUAACACAUGCAAGUCGAACGAGGCGCUUGCGCCUAGUGGCGAACGGGUGAGUAACACGUGAGCAACCUGCCCUUGGCUCUGGGAUAGCCUCCGGAAACGGGGAUUAAUACCGGACAUGACCUUCUCCUGCAUGGGGGAGGGUGGAAAGUUUUUCGGCCAGGGAGGGCUCGCGGCCUAUCAGCUUGUUGGGGGGUAACGGCCCACCAAGGCGACGACGGGUAGCC